rnacentral:rRNA from 1 species
GGGGAUAACACUUAGAAAUAGGUGCUAAUACCGCAUAAGCGCACAGCUUCGCAUGAAGCAGUGUGAAAAACUCUGGUGGUAUACGAUGGAUCCGCGUCUGAUUAGCUGGUUGGCGGGGUAAAGGCCCACCAAGGCAACGAUCAGUAGCCGGCCUGAGAGGGUGAACGGCCACAUUGGGACUGAGACACGGCCCAAACUCCUACGGGAGGCAGCAGUGGGGAAUAUUGCACAAUGGGGGAAACCCUGAUGCAGCGACGCCGCGUGAGUGAAGAAGUAUUUCGGUACGUAAAGCUCUAUCAGCAGGGAAGAAAAUGACGGUACCUGACUAAGAAGCCCCGGCUAACUACGUGCCAGCAGCCGCGGUAAUACGUAGGGGGCAAGCGUUAUCCGGAUUUACUGGGUGUAAAGGGAGCGCAGACGGCAGCGCAAGUCUGGAGUGAAAUCCCAUGGCUUAACCAUGGAACUGCUUUGGAAACUGUGCAGCUAGAGUGCAGGAGAGGUAAGCGGAAUUCCUAGUGUAGCGGUGAAAUGCGUAGAUAUUAGGAGGAACACCAGUGGCGAAGGCGGCUUACUGGACUGUAACUGACGUUGAGGCUCGAAAGCGUGGGGAGCAAACAGGAUUAGAUACCCUGGUAGUCCACGCUGUAAACGAUGAU